rnacentral:rRNA from 1 species
AACAAACGCUGGCGGCGUGCCUAACACAUGCAAGUCGAACGGGGAAAGCUUUCGGGUGAGUACUAGUGGCGCACGGGUGAGUAACGCGUGGAUAAUCUGCCUUAGAGUGGGGGAUAACCAGUCGAAAGAUUGGCUAAUACCGCAUAAGACCACAAGAGCUGCGGCUCAAGGGGUCAAAGGUUUUUCGCUCUAAGAUUAGUCCGCGUAAGAUUAGCUAGUUGGUGAGGUAAUGGCUCACCAAGGCGACGAUCUUUAACUGGUCUGAGAGGAUGAUCAGUCAAACUGGAACUGAGACACGGUCCAGACUCCUACGGGAGGCAGCAGUAGGGAAUAUUGCACAAUGGAGGAAACUCUGAUGCAGCGACGCCGCGUGAGUGAUGAAGGCCUUCGGGUCGUAAAGCUCUGUCGCAGGGGAAUAACACAAUGAAUGUACCCUGUAAGAAAGGAUCGGCUAACUUCGUGCCAGCAGCCGCCGUAA